rnacentral:lncRNA from 10 species
CACGCGCUGCCACGCCUGACUGGUAUUUUUUUGGUGGAGACGGGGUUUCGCUGUGUUGGCCUGGCUGGUCUCCAGCUCCUAACCGCGAGUGAUCCGCCAGCCUCAGCCUCCUGAGGUGCCGGGAUUGCAGACGGAGUCUUGUUCACUCAGUGCUCAAUGGUGCCCAGGCUGGAGUGCAGUGGCGUGAUCUCGGCUCACUACAGCCUACACCUCCCAGCCGCCUGCCUUGGCCUCCCAAAGUGCCGAGAUUGCAGCCUCUGCCUGGCCGUCACCCCGUCUGGGAAGUGAGGAGCAUCUCUGCCUGGCCGCCCAUCGUCUGGGAUGUGAGGAGCCCCUCUGCCUGGCUGCCCAGUCUGGAAAGUGAGGAGCGUCUCUGCGGGGCCGCCAUCCCAUCUAGGAAGUGAGGAGCGCCUCUUCCCGGCCGCCAUCACAUCUAGGAAGUGAGGAGCAUCUCUGCCCGGCUGCCCAUCAUCUGAGAUAUGGGGAGCGCCUCUGCCCCGCCGCCCCAUCUGGGAUGCGAGGAGCGCCUCUGCCCGGCCGCGACCCCGUCUGGGAGUUGUUCAUGUAUUCUAGAGGAAAAGAAAGGAAUAUCAUUAUAUACUGCUUAUGGGAUUCUGUGCUGCGGAGAUCAUUACGGAAGCAACAGUAGCAGGUGGCCUGGCCAUACAGGGAUUCCUUACUCGCAGCAGAGAAUGUUGCUGCCACUCAAAGUCACCAGGGGCUGAAGAGCUCCUGUGGAGACCCACAUCAUCUAACAACACACAUACUCAAAACAGGGAAAUGUGCAUUUUCGGGAGAGGAAGAGACAAACCUUUUGUUUAGCUAACUGGCAUGACAGAGUGUGACAUACAUGUGCUCCUGGAAGAACGGUGUUGGGUGUCUGCACUCAAAAUCUUGAGCAUAGGCAACUGGAUGAAGGGCUCUGUGGCAUUGAUUUUCAUUGUGUGUGUGUUAAUAUUUACAUUUAUAAUUAAAUAAAUAAUCGAAAUUAUGCUGAACUGAAAAAAGAU